rfam:Chlorobium phaeobacteroides BS1, complete genome.
UUGAGCCCAGUGCGGUGAAAGUCGCACGCUGGGUUCUUAGGGGACGGUGGCGUAGCAAUGCGCCGCCGUUACCCGAC